AUGCCAUGCUCAUGUGAAAAUCAAAAUCUAAAGAAAAUGCUGCAAAGAUAGAUUAUU
rnacentral:miRNA from 1 species